CGAGGGUGCAAGCGUUAAUCGGAAUUACUGGGCGUAAAGCGAGUGUAGGCGGUUACUUAAGUCGGAUGUGAAAUCCCCGGGCUCAACCUGGGAAUUGCAUUCGAUACUGGGUAGCUAGAGUUUGGUAGAGGUAAGUGGAAUUCCGGGUGUAGCGGUGAAAUGCGUAGAUAUCCGGAGGAACAUCAGUGGCGAAGGCGGCUUACUGGACCAAAACUGACGCUGAGGCUCGAAAGCGUGGGGAGCAAACAGGAUUAGAGACCCGAGUAGUCC
rnacentral:rRNA from 1 species